GUGUCCCAACUGAUGAUAGCCGAAUCUUCCAUUUUAGGAGACUUUAAAAGAUUAAAUUCUAAGCUGAAAGUGCGGAUGAAGUAAUAUAAAUUGCAAGGAAGAAAAGACACAAGAAUUUUGUUAACGAGAUUCGGUUUUUCCUACUUUCCGGGAGAAGUUUAGAUUCAAUUUCAGUAGAAUAAUAAAACAAAUUACAACAAAUUUGCAAACGCGUAAAAUAAGCACAAAUCUCUUGAUUUACCGCUCUCUUUUAAAACGUGAAACCUUAAAGAUAAUUUUUACUCUUAAUUAAAUUCCUUCAAAAUCUAGAUUUAAUCAGGAUAACACCUAACCCUGAACUAAACUAUCCUUAAAUCUAGACUUCAAAGCAAAACCACUUGAUCACACAAGCACAAACCCGCAAAACUAAGUUGCACACAAUCUUACAGAAAGUUCUCAAAGAUUUCUUCUUUAUAUCUCAGCUCUCUUGCUUCUUCAAAACGUCUCCAGCUUCUCCGUAUAUAUCCAAAACGAUUUUUUAAUCAUUAUAGGAAAAGAUUUCCAAAUUCCAUAAGAAA
rnacentral:sRNA from 1 species